UACGGAGGGUGCAAGCGUUGUUCGGAUUUACUGGGCGUAAAGGGCGCGUAGGCGGCUUGGUAAGUCGGGUGUGAAAUCCUUCCGCUUAACGGAAGAAGUGCACCCGAAACUGCCUUGCUCGAGUUUAGGAGAGGAGAGCGGAAUUCCCGGUGUAGAGGUGAAAUUCGUAGAUAUCGGGAGGAACACCCGUGGCGAAAGCGGCUCUCUGGCCUAAUACUGACGCUGAGGCGCGAAAGCGUGGGGAGCAAACAGG
rnacentral:rRNA from 1 species